rnacentral:rRNA from 1 species
AGGGGAUUUGUUCUGGAAUGACUUAUCUCUUAAAAGUAAUGCCAUAAGAUGAGUCGGCGGCUGAUUAGGUUGUUGGCGAGGUAAUGGCUCACCAAGCCUUUGAUCAGUAGGGGGGAUGGGAGUCCUAGCCCCGAGAAGGGCACUGAGAUACUGGCCCUAGCCCUAAGGGGUGCAGCAGGCGAGAAACCUUUACAAUGUGCGAAAGCGUGAUAAGGGGAACCCAAGUGCUUAUGCUUUGCAUAGGCUUUUUUUGAGUGUAAAAAACUUGGAGAAUAAGUGGUGGGCAAGACUGGUGCCAGCCGCCGCGGUAACACCAGCGCCACAAGUGGCAAUCACAAUUAUUGGGUCUAAAGCGUCCGUAGCAUGUUUGGUAACUCUUUUGUGAAAUUGUUGGGCUUAACUUAACAGAUUGCAAGAGAAACUGCCAAACUUGAGACCGGGAAGAGACAGAAGUAUUCUGGGGGGAGCGGUAGAAUGUUUUAAUCCCUGGAGGACUACCUGUGGCGAAGGCGUCUGUCUAGAACGGCUCUGACUGUGAGGGACGAAAGCUAGGGGAUCAAAACGGAUUAGAUACCCGAGUAGUCCUAGCUGUAAACGCUGUGAGUUAUGUGUUGGGUUUUCUUCGAGGAAGCUCAGUGCCUAAGCGAAGGCGUUAAACUCACCACCUGGGAAGUACGGCCGCAAGACUGAAACUUAAAGG